CCGGAAUUUUCUCCUGAGUUAUUCUUUGACCAAAUGACGACUAUAAUCAAACAGCUUGAGCACGAGUCAAAAGAUAUAUUUAUCUUCGGUGAUUUAAACUGUGACUUAUUAAGUGACAGGUCUCACAGGGCAACUUCGCUUUUAAAUUCAUUUGCGCAAAUUUAUCAGCUUCAGCAACUUAUUGACGAACCUACAAGAUGCAGUGCAAGCACCAGAACAUUAAUUGAUGUUGUUUACACAAAUUGUCCUAGUAAAGUGGCUGCAUCUGGUGUUAUACGCUUAGGAAUAAGUGACCAUGAUCUUGUUUAUGCC